rnacentral:rRNA from 1 species
GACGAACGCUGGCGGCGUGCUUAACACAUGCAAGUCGAACGGUAAGGCCCUUCGGGGUACACGAGUGGCGAACGGGGGAGUAACACGUGGGUGAUCUGCCCUGCACUUCGGGAUAAGCCUGGGAAACUGGGUCUAAUACCGGAUAGGACUCCGGACUGCAUGGUCUGGGGUGGAAAGCUUUUGCGGUGUGGGAUGGGCCCGCGGCCUAGCAGCUUGUUGGUGGGGUGAUGGCCUACCAAGGCGCAGACGGGUAGCCGGCCGGAGAGGGUGACCGGCCACACUGGGACUGAGAUACGGCCCAGACUCCUACGGGAGGCAGCAGUGGGGAAUAUUGCACAAUGGGCGCAAGCCUGAUGCAGCGACGCCGCGUGAGGGAUGACGGCCUUCGGGUUGUAAACCUCUUUCAGCACCGACGAAGCGCAAGUGACGGUAGGUGCAGAAGAAGGACCGGCCAACUACGUGCCAGCAGCCGCCGUAA